rnacentral:rRNA from 1 species
UACGUAGGGUGCGAGCGUUAAUCGGAAUUACUGGGCGUAAAGGGUGCGCAGGCGGAUAAUUAAGUUAGAAGUGAAAUUCCCGGGCUUAACCUGGGCAAGUCUUUUAAGACUGGUUAUCUAGAGUUUGUCAGAGGGGGGUGGAAUUCCAAGUGUAGCAGUGAAAUGCGUAGAGAUUUGGAGGAACACCAAUGGCGAAGGCAACCCCCUGGGAUAAAACUGACGCUCAUGCACGAAAGCGUGGGUAGCAAACAGG